UACGAAGGGGGCUAGCGUUGCUCGGAAUCACUGGGCGUAAAGCGCACGUAGGCGGACUCUUAAGUCGGUGGUGAAAUCCUGGAGCUCAACUCCAGAACUGCCUCGAUACUGAGAGUCUUGAGUCCGGGAGAGGUGAGUGGAACUGCGAGUGUAAGAGGUGAAAUUCGUAGAUAUUCGCAAGAACACCAGUGGCGAAGGCGG
rnacentral:rRNA from 1 species